CAGAGUCAAUGUGGAGGCUAUAUACAGGGGGUACCAGUACAGAGUCAAUGUGGAGGCUAUAUACAGGGGGUACCAGUACAGAGUCAAUGUGGAGGCUAUAUACAGGAGGUACCAGUACAGAGUCAAUGUGGAGGCUAUAUACAGGGGUACCGGUACAGAGUCAAUGUGGAGGCUUUAUACAGGAGGUACCAGUACAGAGUCAAUGUGGAGGCUAUAUACAGGGGUACUGGUACAGAGUCAAUGUACAGAGUCAAUGUGGAGGCUAUAUACAGGGGUACCGGUACAGAGUGAAUGUGGAGGCUAUAUACAGGUGGUACCGGUACAGAGUCAAUGUGGAGGCUAUAUACAGGAGGUACCAGUACAGAGUCAAUGUGGAGGCUAUAUACAGGGGUACCGGUACAGAGUCAAUGUGGAGGCUUUAUACAGGAGGUACCAGUACAGAGUCAAUGUGGAGGCUAUAUACAGGGGUACUGGUACAGAGUCAAUGUACAGAGUCAAUGUGGAGGCUAUAUACAGGGGUACCGGUACAGAGUGAAUGUGGAGGCUAUAUACAGGUGGUACCGGUACAGAGUCAAUGUGGAGGCUAUAUACAGGGGUACUGGUACAGAGUCAAUGUGGAGGCUAUAUACAGGGGGUACCGGUACAGAGUCAAUGUACAGAGUCAAUGUGGAGGCUAUAUAAGUAAUAUGUACAUGUAGGUGGAGUUGUUAAAGUGACUAUGCAUAGAUAAUAACAGAGUAGCAGCAGCAUAGAAGAGGGGGGGAGAGACAAUGCAAAUAGUCUGUAAAGCCAUUUGAUACAAUUUUCAGGAGUCUUAUGUCUUGGGGGUAGAAGCUGUUUAGAAGCCUCUUGAACCUAGACUUGGGGCACCGGUACCACUUGCCGUGCGGUAGCAGAGAGAACAGUCUGACUAGGGUGGCUGGAGUCACUGACAAUUUUUAGGGCCCUCUUCUGACACCGCCUGGAAUCAGAAGUCCUGGAUGGCAGGAAGCUUGGCACCAGUGAUGUACUGGGCCGUAGGCACUACCCUCUGUCGUGCCUUGUGGUUAGAGGCCAAGCAGUUGCCAUACCAGGGAGUGUUGCAACCCGUCAGGAUGCUCUCGAUGGUGCAGCUGUAGAACCUUUUGAGGAUCUGAGUACCCAUACCAAAUCUUAGAAAUACAGCUAAACCUAGGGUAUGGCUAAAUGGGGUGUGUAGAAAUACAGCUAAACUAGGGGUAUGGCUAAAUGGGGUGUGUAGAAAUACAUGUGGGGGUCAGGGAGAGAGUAGAGUUAUGUACUAGACUGGUGGGGGUCAGGUAGAGAGUUGAGUUAUAUACUAGACUGGUGGGGGUCAGGGAGAGAGUUGAGUUAUGUACUAGACAGGUGGGGGUCAGCGAGAGAGGUGAGUCAUGUACUAGACUCGUGGGGGUCAGGGAGAGAGUUAUGUACUAGACUGGUGGGGGUCAGGGAGAGAGUUGAGUUAUGUUCUAGACUGGUGGGGGUCAGCGAGAGAGGUGAGUUAUGUACUAGACUGGUGGGGGUCAGGGAGAGAGUUG
rnacentral:lncRNA from 1 species